rnacentral:misc_RNA from 1 species
AGUCAGUACAGUUACCAUGUCGGUGACACUGCGAAAGGAUCAUUAUUGAAAUAAACCUGAUGGGUUGUUGCUGGUUCUCUAGGGAGCAUGUGCACGCCUUGUCAUCUUUAUAUCUCCACCUGUGCACUUUUUGUAGACCUUUCAGGUCUAUGUUGCUUCAUUUACCCCAAUGUAUGUUAAUAGAAUGUUGUGCCUAUAUAAUAUAUACAA